GUCCAGGCAGCCACCUGGCCUGAGACUGGCCUGGCUUUGCCGUUUCCUUUGGCAGCUCCCAAGACCUGAGGGUAGGAGUCCUGGGCAGCUGGGACCUGCCAGGCCAUUCUGUAUCUCCCAUGGGGCUCACGACCCAGGGACCCCCGUUCCUAUCUGAGAGGACCACUUCUUCCUGAAGCUGGAACCCGAUACUUGUUGGUGCCAACAACUGAAACCAGCAGGAAAAGAGGGUGUGUGAGCCGGGGGAAGACCAUGGUCAUCAGGAUCAUCAGCUCUGCAGGACUCUGAGACACCAUUCCUGGCUCCCAAGGCCUAGCACUGCCUCCAACCAGCUGGUGACAUGCCAAGAUGGAGAUGCGCCCAAUGGCAUGAGGAACUCAGUCAGGACCAACCUUGACCCCUGCUCCGGAUAUGGCAAACUGAUGUGCAGACACAUGUUUUCACGUGGAGCACGUGUGUCCAUUUGGAGGCCAGAAGUCAACCUCAGGUCUCAGGAGGGAGAGCUGCUUAGCCUCAACCUGGCGCAUGGGCACAGGCUACCACGCAGACAAGAAAUGAAGGCACUGAAGGAAGCUAAGAUGCCCCCAUUGCUGCUGCCUGCUGCUGCCUGCUGCUGCCUGCUGCUGCCUGCUGCUGCCUGCUGCUGCCUGCUGCUGCCUGCUGCUGCCUGCUGCAUUGGUAACCCUCCCCAGCAUCCCUGGAGAGACACCAUCCCAGUGUUCUAUACAACAGGCAAUAAGUAAACACCUGUUGGGGCUAGUGCCAUCGAUAUUGCCCGUGCUCAAUUAAAUAUGUCAUUUGUUUGGGAACUGGGGGGCCUUCUGUGUGGCAGUUUCAACGUUAAUAAACGAAUGAGUAAGUCAGCAAA
ensembl:antisense Hnf4aos hepatic nuclear factor 4 alpha, opposite strand